UACGUAGGGUGCAAGCGUUAUUCGGAAUUACUGGGCGUAAAGCGUGCGCAGGCGGUUUUGUAAGUCUGUCGUGAAAUCCCCGGGCUCAACCUGGGAAUGGCGAUGGAGACUGCAAGGCUAGAAUCUGGCAGAGGGGGGUAGAAUUCCACGUGUAGCAGUGAAAUGCGUAGAGAUGUGGAGGAACACCGAUGGCGAAGGCAGCCCCCUGGGUCAAGAUUGACGCUCAUGCACGAAAGCGUGGGGAGCAAACAGG
rnacentral:rRNA from 1 species